rnacentral:lncRNA from 1 species
GACGGACGGAUGGCCGAAGCUCUGUGCCGUAGGUCAGACCAGCAGCGCUCCCCACACCACAGUCCCAGUCAGAGGAGUUCUGCUCUGCAGAUCCCAGAGCCGCUGCUGCGCCGAUCCCAACCAAUGUGGGAGUCAUCGCUGGAGAUGGAAAGCCAGAAAGCGCCAGGAAGCAUUUUCUUCCCUUCAAAUGUCAGCUGAGUAUUUACUGCUGGGAAAGGAGAGGUCUGCAGCGAAUGCAAGGAGUCCCCAAAGCUGCGGGCAGCCCCGUAGGAAGCAGAGGAGAAGCUCUGUGGGGAGAAAGGAGAGGGAAGGAUCGGCAGCUGUGUCCCAAAAGGAUGGGGAAAUCUCAGCGCUGCCUUCUGAGACCCCGGAGCUGUGGAGAGGACCCUCCGUGCUCUGUGGGGUUUGGAGACCCGGGAUCGUAGAAUUCCAGGCUCUGCUGUGGUCCCCUCACCGCGGCACCGAGGAGCCGUGGGUCCCAGCUGCAAAACCAGGGCUUGCAAAACCAGAGCUGAUGCACGCCAAGGAAUGACACGGACUUAGCGGGGCUGCUCUCC